GGCCACCGGCUUGCGGUUGCCUCUCGGUUAUACCCUUGUCCGGCGGUCCUCCUCGCGGGGACGCCGUGGGCCUUUGCUGGUUUGCGGAUGUGAACCGUGACGAAAAAUUAGAGUGUUUAAAGCAGGCGUUUGCUUGAAUACAUUAGCAUGGAAUAAUGGAAUAGGGCUGCUGCCCCAUUUUGUUGGUUUCUGGGACUGUAGCA
rnacentral:rRNA from 1 species